rnacentral:rRNA from 1 species
UACAGAGGUCCCGAGCGUUGUUCGGAUUCACUGGGCGUAAAGGGUGCGUAGGCGGUCGGGUAAGUCUGAUGUGAAAUCUCACAGCUUAACUGUGAAACUGCAUUGGAUACUAUCCGGCUCGAGGAAUGGAGGGGAGACUGGAAUACUUGGUGUAGCAGUGAAAUGCGUAGAUAUCAAGUGGAACACCAGUGGCGAAGGCGAGUCUCUAGACAUUUCCUGACGCUGAGGCACGAAAGCCAGGGGAGCAAACGGG